rnacentral:rRNA from 1 species
UUGGAGGGCAAGUCUGGUGCCAGCAGCCGCGGUAAUUCCAGCUCCAAUAGCGUAUAUUAAAGUUGUUGCAGUUAAAAAGCUCGUAGUUGAAAUUCGAAAUUUGUCCUAUGGUCGGGCUUUACGGUCCGUACAGUAGUGGCGAAUUUCUACCUUCUGAAGAACCUUCAUGUCAUUAAUUUGGUGUGUUGGGAAAUCAGGACUGUUACUUUGAAAAAAUUAGAGUGUUUAAAGCAGGCUUAAGUCUGAAUACAUUAGCAUGGAAUAAUGAAAUAGGACGGAUUGGUUCUAUUUUGUUGGUUUCUAGGAUCACCGUAAUGAUUAAUAGGGAUAGUUGGGGGCAUUAGUAUUCAAUUGUCAGAGGUGAAAUUCUUGGAUUUAUUGAAGACUAACUUCUGCGAGAGCAUUUGCCAAGGAUGUUUUCAUUAAUCAAGAACGAAAGUUAGGGGAUCGAAGACGAUCAGAUACCGUCGUAGUCUUAACCAUAAACUAUGCCGACUAGGGAUCGGACGAAGUUAAUUUUUAGAUGACUCGUUCGGCGCCUUACGGGAAAC